GAUCCUUUGCCCAUUUUAAAAAUUGAGUUAUUUGUCUUUUUAUUACUGAGUUAUGUGUUCUUUAUAAAUUCUAGAUACAAGUCCCUUAUCAGAUGUAUGAUCUGCAAAAAUGUUCUCCCAUCCUAUGGGCUGCCUUUUAAUUCUCUUGAUGGUGUCCUUUGACUCACAAAAGUUUUAAAUUUUGAUGAAGUCAAAUUUUUGUGUUUCUUUUUUGGUUACCUGUACUUUUAGUGUCGUACUGAAGAAAGCUUUGCCUAAUCCAAGGUCAGGAAGAUUUACUCAUUUCUUAUUUUUUUUAAGAGUUUUAUCACUAGCUCUCAUAAUUAAGUCUAUGGUCAUUUAGAGUUAAUUAUUUUUAUGAUGUGAGAAAGGGGUCCAACCACCUGGAGUUUCAUCCCUGGACCACAGAGGUGUGGGCUGCUGGCCAGGGUUGUACACCAGGCCAGUCAGGGUGUGGGGGCAGGGUCCUGUGGGUGGGGCUUCCCACCAUAACCCUUUCCUGCCCAGAGUGGUUCUCUGGGUCGUGGUGGGGGGGGUAGGCAGUGUCUUUUCUGCUGGGCCCCAUGUCCCCCCAGGUCCCAGGUACCACCAUGUUGCCUGCCCUGUGGGGCAGGAUGGGCAGAGCUGGGAAGGACCACAUGGGAGGAGUAGGGGUUAGCUUAUCCAGGGGCUGGACCAGGGACAGAAGGGAUAAUGAGACAUCAAUCCCAGGGGUGCCUGUGGUCAGGUGACUUGCUACCAGGAAGCAUUUACCUGAGGCUACACCCCCUGGAGGUGGGGGUCCUCCUCUGUCGCAGUUGGGAGGUCUCUGCUUUCGUGUCUAGUUGUCAGGUCUCUGCUUUCAUGUCUAGUUGACUGAGAAGGGGAGCUUGCAGGGGGCAAGGCACCCCAACCAUGCACUGGCCUUGCACCUCAGGCUCCUCUCAUGGAUGAAGGGGUCUUCGAAGACUUUGGGGUGCGGGGCAUGGACACCUCAAGCCAUGUGCAUUGGAGGGGCCCAGAGAAACACAACUAAAAGCCAGGUUGGAGAAACAGGUCUAGGGGGCCAAGUAAGAGUGUACGGGCCUCGGUGCUGCCUGAGUCCUGGACAGGGAGGGUGAGAUGUCUGCCAAGGCGGCAAUCUUGUUUCUGGGCUAAACUGGAAACUGAGAAAGACCCCGCCAUCUGCCCACCACCCAAUCACCCCCAACAGACAAAACAGCUAGCCCACACUGAUGCCCCAGAGCCCCGGUCUCCAGGCCAGCGCUGCCCCUGUCAUCCAUUUUUUUCUUUUCUUUUCUUUUUUUUUUUGGCCAUGCCAUGUGCCUUGUGGGAUCUUAGUUCCCUGACCAGACGUUGAACCCGGGCCCCCGGCAGUGAAAGUGCAGAGUCCUAAUCAUUGGACCACCAGGGAAUUCCCUGUCAUCCAUCCUUUCUGCUUCUCCAGACCAGAAGCCAGGGAGCCCUCAGUGACCACGGAUUCUCUGGACACCUCCACAGCCCUGUACCCACUCAGCUGAGGCAGAGCUAGCACCAGCUCAGACACAAGGUCACUGCCCUCGUGGGGUCCUAGUGUCCCCUAGCACUGGGUGCCCUGGGGCCUCUGGCCUGGGAUGGGGGCUGGAUCUAGUUGUAAAUCUGGAGAGCUCUGCCUCCCAGGGCCCAGCCCAUGUUCCCGGUGACACAGUGUCAGGGUGAAGGGCACCGGGCAUUCUGGGAGUAUCAGUGACCUGAGCUCAUGUCCCCAAAGUACUUUUCCCUGAAGACUGGUGCUCAGGAAGAUGGGUGUCCAUUAUCCUGGACAAGGUACCCCAGGUGCUGUACGGGCGGGCUCUGGACCCACCUCGACUGGACUCCCAGCUCUGCCUUCAUGGCUGCAUGCCUCAGUGUCCUCAUCUGUAACCUGGGUCAAUGAGAAAGAUCAACUUUCAUAACAUGGGGGCUGAAGGUUAAGUGGAAACACCUGUGGAAGCACUUCACCCCGUGCUCAGCACCUGUGGGCCUGGAUUCCUAGUAACUCAGCUGUCAGCACCUUGGUCACCCCAGUAACCCCUUGAGAGCCCUGUUUUGGGCACAUUUUGUAGAUGGGAAAGUGAGGUUUGGCUGGGGGAGGUGACGGACCCAAGGCUACCAAGAGAGCAGAAGCACCAGCCCAGGGUUCUCUGGCUCCAUUCAGGUCCUUUCCCGGGGGCACCAAGGCAGCCCCAUCUGCCCCAACCUCCAGCCCAGAUUCUUCCUGAACCCAAGCCUAAGGGCACCUCCACUGAUGAGAUUUUGCCUCCUGCCUUAGGACAGAGCUCUUGAACUGCUGGGUUCCUUCCAGGGAGGUGGAGGAGAAAUCCAUCUGCUGGGGCCUGAGCGUGGCCUGGGGGCCAGGCCAUCGGUCCCGGAAUGCCCCUGCCCGAGCCCAGUGAGCAGGAGGGCGAGAGCGUGAAGGCCGGCCAGGAGCCCUCCCCUGAGUCCCCUGAGCCGGGCACAGAUGUCGUCCCCGCAGCCCCCAGGAAGCCCAGAAAGUUCUCCAAACUGGUGCUGCUGACGGCCUCCAAGGACAGUGCCAAAGUGGCGGGGGCCAAGCGCAAAGGAGUGCACUGCAUCAUGUCCCUGGGGGUGCCCGGCCCCGCCACCCUUGCCAAAGCCCUCCUCAAGAUCCAUCCCGAGGCUCAGCGGGCCAUCGAGGCCGCCCCCCAGGAGCCCGAGCAAAAACGCAGCAAGCUGGACACAGACGGAAAAGAAGAUGGAAGGUUGGCAGGACAGCCUGCCCCCAGUCCCUUGGUGGAUGGGGAGGAGUCCACCAUGGGCCCCAUCGUGUCCAGGGAGGACCCGUAGCCCUGACAACUGAGGGUGCAUCCUGGCUGGGUCAGUGAACUUGGCUGCAACUUCUACACGUUCCACUGGGCUCCUGUCUGCGGCCCAGCCGCUGACUGAUUUUCACUUUCAACAUUGUAAUCUUUUUCUGAUCAAGCAUAAUUUACUUUUGUAAGCAGAAAAAAAUAAUUAAAAAGAGAAUAAAAGAAGCUGUACACUAGAUCCCACCACAGGGCCAGUUCCCAGGAGGCCUCAGCCUGCUUCUUCCUGCUGGACCCUCAUAAAGGCCACCUCCUCCAGGGAGCCACACAGGACUGACAGCCCCUGUGCACAGGGGCCCUGAUGUCCAUGGCAGCCCAAGGUUCUGCUGAGGAGGUGAACCUGCGGUGUGAGGGGGCACGCCUGACAGAAGUGUAUUGUGCCCCUGCCAUGUUCCUUCUGGGUGGUUUGGGGGCUGAGGGAGAUUCCUGGGAGCCUGAGCCCCUCCUCAGGUCCCCUGGGUGCUGCCCUGCUGGAGGGAAAGAUGAAGAAACACUGUUCCCCUCCUUCAACCAUAAGUCGGGGUCCCCUGAGAAAAGGCAUCGGCCUCAAGUUGCUUCAGCCCACGUGGUCCUCAUCAUUUGAAAACUGCCUUUGGGCAAAAGGAAAUGGAUUAUUUUUUAAAAGUAGAGUUUAGAGGACUUAUGUUUUCAAACAUUUUCCAAAUUUAAUCAGUAUCUGUUGACUCCCUCUUGGGAAAAGUGAGUUACGCAGCACAUCCGCAGCGCCCAACUCUCCGUUUUGCUGUUAUUUUUACAGCAUGGUUGUCUGUAACAAUUAUAUUCUGUAACCAUAACUUGAAAAGUUGUUUUGUCUGAAUUCUAU